AGUGGCAAACGGGUGAGUAACACGUGGGAAUCUGCCUGGUAGUACGGAAUAACAGUUAGAAAUGACUGCUAAUACCGUAUAAUCUCUACGGAGUAAAGAUUUAUCGCUACCAGAUGAGCCCGCGCUAGAUUAGGUAGUUGGUGGGGUAACGGCCUACCAAGCCUGUGAUCUAUAGCUGGUCUGAGAGGAUGGUCAGCCACACUGGGACUGAGACACGGCCCAGACUCCUACGGGAGGCAGCAGUGGGGAAUAUUGGACAAUGGGCGCAAGCCUGAUCCAGCAAUGCCGCGUGAGUGAUGAAGGCCUUCGGGUUGUAAAGCUCUUUCAGCAGGGAAGAUAAUGACGGUACCUGCAGAAGAAGCCCCGGCUAACUCCGUGCCAGCAGCCGCGGUAAUACGGAGGGGGCUAGCGUUGUUCGGAAUUACUGGGCGUAAAGCGCGCGUAGGCGGCUUAAUAAGUUAGAAGUGAAAGCCCAAGGCUUAACCUUGGAACUGCUUUUAAAACUGUUAGGCUAGAGGAUAGUAGAGGAUGAUGGAAUUCCUAGUGUAGAGGUGAAAUUCUUAGAUAUUAGGAGGAACACCGAAGGCGAAAGCAGUCAUCUGGGCUAUUUCUGACGCUGAGGCGCGAAAGCGUGGGGAGCAAACAGGAUUAGAUACCCNGGUAGUCCACGCCGUAAACGAU
rnacentral:rRNA from 1 species